rnacentral:tRNA from 1 species
GCCGAAGUGGUGGAAUUGGCAGACACACCAUCUUGAGGGGGUGGCGGUUUUACCGUGGGGGUUCGAGUCCCCCC